AGAUGGGCUGAAAUGGGAUACCCUAAUUGUGGAUCAUGAAGAUGGGCCAAUGGAGAGAGAGAAGCUUCUCUUUGCAGUCAAGUCUUAUUGGACUGCUCCAGCUACUCAAGAUUCUAAUAACACCUCCGCCAACCCAAGGAUGAUCUAAUUUCUCAAUCCCAAUUUUGUCUCUAAUUGUUUAAAUUUUGUAUAGGCUAGUCUGUGUAAGCUUUUAAGAGUUUGUAAACCAAUUCUAUUUGUCCCUUGAUAUGACUAAUAGAUUUGUUUAGCUUAAAAAGUACCUAUCGAACUCUUAUUUGGUUUUUCAAUUCUUUUCA
rnacentral:lncRNA from 1 species